GAGGAAUAUUGGUCAAUGGACGAGAGUCUGAACCAGCCAAGUAGCGUGAAGGAUGACUGCCCUAUGGGUUGUAAACUUCUUUUAUACGGGAAUAAAGUGAGGCACGUGUGCCUUUUUGUAUGUACCGUAUGAAUAAGGAUCGGCUAACUCCGUGCCAGCAGCCGCGGUAAUACGGAGGAUCCGAGCGUUAUCCGGAUUUAUUGGGUUUAAAGGGAGCGUAGGCGGACGCUUAAGUCAGUUGUGAAAGUUUGCGGCUCAACCGUAAAAUUGCAGUUGAUACUGGGUGUCUUGAGUACAGUAGAGGCAGGCGGAAUUCGUGGUGUAGCGGUGAAAUGCUUAGAUAUCACGAAGAACUCCGAUUGCGAAGGCAGCUUGCUGGACUGUAACUGACGCUGAUGCUCGAAAGUGUGGGUAUCAAACAGGAUUAGAUACCCUGGUAGUCCACACAGUAAACGAUGAAUACUCGCUGUUUGCGAUAUACAGUAAGCGGCCAAGCGAAAGCGUUAAGUAUUCCACCUGGGGAGUACGCCGGCAACGGUGAAACUCAAAGGAAUUGACGGGGGCCCGCACAAGCGGAGGAACAUGUGGUUUAAUUCGAUGAUACGCGAGGAACCCUUACCCGGGCUUGAAUUGCAACUGAAUGAUGUGGAGACAUGUCAGCCGCAAGGCAGUUGUGAAGGUGCUGCAUGGUUGUCGUCAGCUCGUGCCGUGAGGUGUCGGCUUAAGUGCCAUAACGAGCGCAACCCUUAUCGAUAGUUACCAUCAGGUUAUGCUGGGGACUCUGUCGAGACUGCCGUCGUAAGAUGUGAGGAAGGUGGGGAUGACGUCAAAUCAGCACGGCCCUUACGUCCGGGGCUACACACGUGUUACAAUGGGGGGUACAGAAGGCAGCUACACGGCGACGUGAUGCUAAUCCCGAAAGCCUCUCUCAGUUCGGAUUGGAGUCUGCAACCCGACUCCAUGAAGCUGGAUUCGCUAGUAAUCGCGCAUCAGCCACGGCGCGGUGAAUACGUUCCCG
rnacentral:rRNA from 1 species